rnacentral:rRNA from 1 species
UACGUAGGGUGCGAGCGUUGUCCGGAAUUAUUGGGCGUAAAGAGCUCGUAGGCGGUGUGUCACGUCGGCCGUGAAAACCUGCAGCUUAACUGUGGGCGUGCGGUCGAUACGGGCAUCACUGGAGUUCGGCAGGGGAGACUGGAAUUCCUGGUAUAGCGGGUGAAAGUGACUGGCCGAGACAGUAAUUACUCAAGGGGAAGGGGAAACCAACCCGGAAUUGGGGCCGGAAAGGGCCAAGGGGUUCCUUCCUUGGGGGCCAAUUUUAACCCCUUGGAACCGGGCCUUGGAAGGGGAAGGCCGGAAAAAAGGUUGGUUGGGGGGGGAAGGCCGGAAAACCAAGGGGAAAUUUAAGGAAAAAACCCCCCCCAAGGUUAAGGUUCCCCAAGGAACCCCAAAAGGUUCCUUCCGUUGGCCUUAACCCCGGUUAAAAUUCCAACCCCGGAACCUUGGCCCCCCAAUUAAGGAAGGAAGGGCCUUGGAAGGAACCUUGGCCCCAAAAGGGCCAACAACCAA